CCCUUAGAUGUUCCGGGCCGCACGCGCGCUACACUGUUCGACGCAGCGAGUCUUAACCUUGACCGAAAGGUUUGGGUAAUCUUCAGCAAAGUCGAACGUGAUGGGGAUCGAUCAUUGCAAUUAUUGAUCGUGAACGAGGAAUUCCUAGUAAGUGCAAGUCAUCAGCUUGCGCUGAUUACGUCCCUGCCCUUUGUACACACCGCCCGUCGCUACUACCGAUUGAAUGGUUUAGUGAGAUCUCUGGAUUGACGCUGGCUAGGGGGCGACCCUUGGCCAGGCUGUCGAGAAACUGCUCAAACUUGAUCAUUUAGAGGAAGUAAAAGUCGUAACA
rnacentral:rRNA from 1 species